CCCCUGAGACCCUAACUUGUGA
rnacentral:ncRNA from 3 species